GUAAUUCUGUUGACUCGGAUACAGCUGGGUCCGGUUUUGAGUUUGGGUGAACCCGUAGAUCCGGAACCCGGAUCCGGAUAUCUUAUUUUAAAAUUAGUUUUUUAAUUAUUUUUAAUAUAAAUACAAAGAUCAAAAAAGAAAUUCUAAGCGCCCUAGUUUCACAUAUCACAACCACAGCCUCCAAACAUUUCCUUUCUCUUCAACUCUUUUAUUCAUCAAAUCAAAUCACCGUGCUUUGCCAAUCACAACCUUCACGGCUCUAUUCAUCAUCAUCAUCAACCGCCAUUUGUCCGGCUGUGAUAUGGUUGAAAAAGCGACAUUUGUCAUCAUCGGCAGCAUCGAUUGAAAACAUCCUCUUCAUCAUCAUGAGGGAAUGGGUUUUGCUUUGCCUUUUUCAGCUUUUUUAGCCUCUUGUUUCCUCUGAUAUGGCAGCAAAGUGAGAUCUACAAAUGCAUGACAGUUCCCACAAUUUCUCCCUCGUUUUGAUUUGUUUCCUCUGCCUUUAAUAUUUUUCUUGCAAAGGAAUAUUAUUCUUAUUAAUGAUUAUUGUAUUGUGGAUGUUUUAUUACUUAGAAACAUUGAAAUUUAACAAGUAUAUGUUUUUUAUUUUAUUAGAAUCUGGAUUUAUUUGUAUUUUAAGUUUUUUUUUUUACUUGAUUCACUAAUCCGUGUUCAAAAUUCAAUAUCCAAAAACUUGAGUUUUUUCCGGGUUAAACUUGAACCGGACCCAAUUGGA
rnacentral:lncRNA from 1 species